ensembl:lncRNA
CCAGGUAGUUUAUAUCCAGGUAGUUUAUCUUUAUAUCUAUGCAGUUUAUAUCUAGGUAGUUUAUCUUAAUAUCUAGGUAGUUUAUCUUUAUAUAUAGGUAGUUUAUAUGAUGUAGUUUAUCUUUAUAUCUAGGUAGUUUAUAUCUAUAUAGUUUAUCUUUAUAUCUAGGUAGUUUAUAUCUAGGUACUUUAUAUUUAUAUCUAGGUAGUUUAUAUCUAGGUAGUUUAUAUUUAUAUCUAUAUAGUUUAUAUCUAGGUAGUUUAUAUCUACAUAAUUUAUCUUUAUAUCUAGGUAGUUCAUAUCUAGGUAGUUUAUAUUUAUAUCUGGGUAGUUUAUCUUUAUAACUAGGUAGUUCCUAUCCAGGUAGUUUAUCUUUAUAUCAAGGUAGUUUAUCUUUAUAUCUAGGUAGUUUAUCUAUAUAUAUCUACAUAGUUUAUCUUUAUAUCUUGGUAGUUUAUCUUUAUAACUAGGUAGUUUAUAUCCAGGUAGUUUAUCUAUAUAUAUCUAUAUAGUUUAUCUUUAUAUCCAGAUAGUUUAUCUUUAUAUCUAGGUAGUUUAUAUCUACGUAGUUUAUAUCUAUAUAAUUUAUCUGUAUAUCUAUGUAGUUUAUAUCUACGUAGUUUAUAUCUAUAUAAUUUAUCUUUAUAUCUAGGUAGUUUAUCUUUAUAUCUACGUAAUUUAUAUCUACAUAGUUUAUAUCUAGGUAGUUUAUAUCCAGGUAGUUUAUCUUUAUAUCCAGGUAGUUUAUCUUUAUAUCUAGGUAGUUUAUCUAUAUAUAUCUAUGUAGUUUAUUUUUAUAUCUAGGUAGUUUAUCUUUAUAACUAGGUAGUUUAUAUCCAGGUAGUUUAUCUAUAUAUUUCUAUAUAGUUUAUAUUUAUAUCUAGGUAGUUUAUAUCUAGGUAGUUUAUAUCUAUAAAGUUUAUCUUUAUAUCUAGGUAGUUUAUCUUUAUAUCUAGGUAGUUUAUAUCUACAUAGUUUAUAUCUAGGUAGUUUAUAUCUACGUAGUUUAUAUCUACGUAGUUUAUAUCUAUAUAAUUUAUCUUU